rnacentral:rRNA from 1 species
GAUUAACGCUGGCGGCGUGCAUAACACAUGCAAGUCGAACGAUGAAACUUAGUAGACUUCUUCGGAAAGACACUAAGCGGCUUAGUGGCGAACGGGUGAGUAACGCGUGAGUAACCUGCCUUACACAAGGGGAUAGCCUUUGGAAACGAAGAAUAAUACCCUAUAAAACCAUAAAAGCACAUGCUAGAAUGGUCAAAGUGAUAGCGGUGUAAGAUGGACUUGCGUCUGAUUAGCUAGUUGGUGAGAUAAAAGCUCACCAAGGCAACGAUCAGUAGCCGGCUUGAGAGAGUGUACGGCCACAUUGGGACUGAGACACGGCCCAGACUCCUACGGGAGGCAGCAGUGGGGAAUUUUGCACAAUGGGGGAAACUCUGAUGCAGCGACGCCGCGUGAUUUAGAAGGCCUUCGGGUUGUAAAAAUCUUUUGUAUAGGAAGAAAAUGACAGUACUAUACGAAUAAGGUCCGGCUAAUUACGUG